UGAUGGUUGGUUCAGAACUGGUGAUCUAUCAAUAGUUGAUGACCAAGGAAUAAUCAAAUUUAGUGAUAGGCAAAAAGAAUUGAUAAAGGUCAAAGGUUUUUAAGUACCUCCAGCAGAAUUGGAAGCAAUUUUACGAGAGCAUCCAGCUGUUUUCGAUGCAGCUGUAAUCGGAGUACCUCACGGCAUAAAAGGAGAAACGCCAAAAGCGUUCGUCGCUUUCAGACCUGGACAUAGUGCCGAUAUUAAGGAUCUGUGUAAUUUCGUCGCCACUAAAGUGGCUCCGUAUAAAAGAAUUGACGAUAUUUCUAUUCUGGACAGUAUACCAAGAAGCGCAGCGGGCAAAAUUUUGAGAAAAGACUUGAGAUCUAGAUAUUGUUAGCAUUUUUAUUUCGGUUUAAGGUCUUUGUGGGUGGGUGUGUUUACGUAAGCGUGGUGAGAAAUUGUGUAUUAUUAAUAUUAUGUUAUUUUUGUAUUAAGGACAUCGAUGUUAAUUUUUGAUUGACACUUGAAAAAAUAGUACAAUUGAAAUAGGCAAUUAUCUACCUUUUGGUAACGGGUCUAUGACAAUAUUUUGGACGCUUUUAAAUUAGUAGUUAUAUUUUCAGAUGUUGUUUAUUUUUAAUGAAUAUAUUUGUAUUUUUUUA